UACGAAAGGGGGCUAGCGUUGCUCGGAAUCACUGGGCGUAAAGGGCGCGUAGGCGGCCAUUCAAGUCAGGGGUGAAGCCUGUGGCUCAACCACAGAAUUGCCUUUGAUACUGUUUGGCUAGAGACCGGAAGAGGUAAGUGGAACUGCGAGUGUAGAGGUGAAAUUCGUAGAUAUUCGCAAGAACACCAGUGGCGAAGGCGGCUUACUGGUCCGGUUCGACGCUGAGGCG
rnacentral:rRNA from 1 species